UACGAAGGGGGCGAGCGUUGUUCGGAUUUACUGGGCGUAAAGGGCGCGCAGGCGGUCUUGAAAGUCAGGCGUGAAAGCCCCGGGCUUAACCUGGGAAUUGCGCUUGAUACUCUGAGACUGGACGAUGACGGGAGAGGGAGAGUGGAAUUCCCAGUGUAGAGGUGAAAUUCGUAGAUAUUGGGAAGAACACCAGUGGCGAAGGCGACUUACUGGACACAUAUUGACGCUGAGGUGCGAAAGCGUGGGGAGCAAACAGG
rnacentral:rRNA from 1 species